GGUUGUGGCUCAGCGGUAGAGUGCUCACCUAGCAUGCAGGAGGCACUGGGUUCAAUCCUCAGCACCA
rnacentral:tRNA from 1 species